rnacentral:tRNA from 1 species
GAUCUUGUCUUUGGACCUAAGCACCGGUCUUAUAAGCCGGCGGUCCUCGGUUCAAAUCCGAGCGGGCCCA